ACCAUUGAAUGCGAUACUUUUAUGCAUUCUCUUCUUCGUUCAAAUCACAAUCUCUUUCUCUCUUUCUCUAUCUCAGUUCAACGUUAGAAGGUUGCGAUGGGUUCCUCACCAAAUUCAAAGCCUAAGAUCGUAAGAGGCACCGCUGGUUAUGUGUUGGAGGAUGUUCCACACAUGUCCGAUUACAUUCCUGACCUUCCAACUUAUUCUAAUCCUUUGCAGGACAAUCCUGCUUACUCUGUUGUCAAGCAAUAUUUCGUGCACGUCGAUGAUAGUGUUCCGCUGAAGAUUAUUGCUAAUAAAGAUAGUCCAAGAGGGGUACAUUUUCGGCGUGCUGGACCUCGUCAAAAGGUGUAUUUCGAAUCAGAUGAUGUUCAGGCUGCCAUUGUGACAUGUGGCGGUCUAUGCCCUGGCCUCAACACCGUGAUUAGAGAACUUGUAUGUGCGUUAUAUCACAUGUAUGGCGUGAAGAAAGUUUUGGGAAUCAAUGGAGGAUAUAAGGGUUUCUAUGCUCACAAUACAAUCGCUCUAACUCCUAAAAACGUGAAUGAUAUACAUAAGCGUGGGGGAACUAUUCUUGGUUCAUCACGAGGGGGCCACGACACCACUAAGAUAGUUGACAGUAUUCAAGAUCGGGGCAUUAAUCAGGUUUAUAUAAUUGGAGGAGAUGGAACUCAGAGGGGUGCAGCUAAGAUUUUUGAGGAAAUUAGAAGGCGUGGCAUCAAAGUUGCAGUUAUAGGAAUUCCCAAAACCAUAGAUAACGACAUCCAGGUUAUUGAUAAGUCCUUUGGCUUUGACACAGCUGUUGAGGAGGCUCAGCGUGCUAUAAAUGCAGCACAUGUUGAAGCUGAAAGUGGUGAAAAUGGCAUUGGUGUUGUCAAGCUGAUGGGCCGGUACAGUGGGUUUAUUGCAAUGUAUGCCACACUGGCCAGUAGGGAUGUGGACUGUUGCUUAAUUCCAGAGUCACCCUUUUACCUUGAAGGUCCAGGUGGGCUUUUUGAGUUUGCAGAGAAGAGACUAAAAGAAAAUGGCCACAUGGUUAUUGUGAUUGCUGAAGGGGCAGGACAAGAACUUGUUUCUGAGAGCAUCCAAUCUAUGCAAAUGCAGGAUGCUUCCGGAAACAAACUUCUUCAAGAUGUCGGGCUAUGGAUAUCCCAAAAGAUAAAGGAAUAUUUCAAACAGAAGAAAAUGACCAUAAAUCUCAAAUAUAUAGAUCCAACAUAUAUGAUCCGAGCUGUUCCAAGCAAUGCUUCUGACAACGUGUACUGCACACUUCUUGCUCAAAGUGCUGUUCAUGGAGCAAUGGCAGGUUACACUGGCUUUACAAGUGGGCUUGUCAAUGGAAGACAAACAUACAUACCCUUUUAUAAAAUCACUGAGGGACAGAACAAAGUAAUCAUAACUGAUAGAAUGUGGGCUAGGCUUUUAUCUUCAACAAAUCAGCCCAGCUUUUCGAUUGGUAAGAGUUGCAUUGAAGAAAAGAAGGAAGAAGAAGCAACCGGGCAGUAGGAAGGGCCUUGUUUGGUUAAGAAAGUUGGGAGCAUUUUUUCCUGUACUUUUGUACAUGCUAUUGCCAUCAUUCUACCUUAAUAUCUUGCCUUAAAGCAAAAUAUAGAGACUAGUUAAAAUGUUCAAGAAUUCCAGAAGACGUUAGUGUCACUGCUAUACAAUGAGGGAUCUUGUAUUUCCUGGUUAGCCACAUGACAAUCAACAAGACGCGCUUGAAUAAUUUUGCAGAGGGCCAGACCAGAAGGAAGCAUCCACCAUUCACUUUCAUCCCUGCAUUGGCCCAGCAUAACAUAUCCGUAUAGAGAAAGUAGUCAAACAGUGACAACACAUAAAUCUUUGGCAUCAAUUUUCAUUAUCUGCUACGAUUAUUACUAUGGUAGAUAGUAAAAGCUACUUACAUACUAAAAUUCCAGGAUUGAAAGUUGGAAAGCUUGUUAUGUGAAUGAGCUGUAUAAUGUAUAAAUCCACAAAAGAAGGCAACUACCUGUUUCAAGAGGCAUUUUUUACUGUUAAAGGUUAAAGCAAAUACUUGAGAACUUAUUUCACACCC